UGUCAACAUUUAAUAUGUUUAGGCUGAGCAUAUAACAUUCAGACUUUCUCUAACAGAGGAUUACCUCUUUCAGAAGCUAAAUAAAGUAUGUAACAUGUUAGAGGUUAUAUAAACACAGGGAGAUUUUGAAUUUCCUAUCUUAAAGCAGUUUAGCCAUUUUGAAUUUUAGCAGUUUUAUUAAUCAUAAAUCGCAUAGCAUUUGUCUUUAUAGAAGUUACUGCUCAAGUACAAGAAUAAUUUUUUAAUGUCUUAAUGAUCGGUGCUGCUAACUUGCAUGAUUUCAGAAGACAUAAUUAUGAACACACACUGUCAGAAUAUGCAGAGUUUGAGGG
rnacentral:lncRNA from 1 species